rnacentral:lncRNA from 1 species
UUUUUUUUUUCUAAAACGUGCUUUGUAUAUAGAAAUAAGAAGAUGAGGUAUGAGUGCCAAAUGAGACAUCUUUCCAACAAAGACAUAAUUUAGUAAAGUAAGCAGUCAUAGGUCCAAUGCUGAAAAGUAAGCUAUUAAUGACCCAAAAAUUACUUGUGUAAAACAAUCCAAACAAAAAAAACCAAAAAAAACCGGCCCAAUUAAAUAUAUAAAAGGACAAGAAAUCUAUCCCAUCAAAAAAAAAAAAAAUAUUGUAUAGGAGCCUGUAUUUCAGUGGUUGUCGUUUGUUUAUGUGUUACAUAUUUUUUUUUUUCUUUCUUCAGUUUUUUUUAUAUAAUUAAGGCCGUUAGUUUUCUCGUUUGAAUUGUUUUACAUUGUCAUAUCGGGGACUUUUAUAGCUGACUAUGCGGUAUGGGCUUUGCUCAUUGUUGAAGGCCGUACGGUGAUCUAUAAAUGUUAAUUUCUGUGUCAUUUUGGUCUCUUGUGGACAGCUGUCUCAUUGGCAAUCAUACCACAUCUUCUUUUUUUAUUAUAGAUCCAACGCUGCAAUUUUCACAAAACAUAUCAAAUUUUCCACCUUGUCGCACAUACAUAUGGAUAAAAUCAUUACAGCUUAUUUCCUAAUGCAUGUGGAGCAAAACUUUGGUUAGCUUGCUUGCUUUGUUUGUAUAUUGUACAAAAUAUAAAAUAUACAAGUUAAACUAUGCCUAUAUAUAUAUUGUUUAAAGAUGUCAAUCUUAUUUUCAAAGCUUGUAUAAACAACUAUACAAACAAAGCAAGCAAGCCAACCAAAGUUUUACUUUGCAGGUUUAAGAAAUCAGCUGUACAAUGAUUUUAUUCAGUUUGGCAAAUGUCCGAGCCCGUUAAAAAACGAACAAACUGAAACUACAGUUGCUGACUUCACUACCUUCAAAAAAAGGGAACAGUUUGGAAGUCCCAUAUACUGAAAUGUGACCAACAAAAAUACUUAUAAAUUUUGUUAACACUGCCAUGUAUGUAAAUAUUUCUUCGCCUUUUUUACGAACACAAAAUUCAAGGAUCCCACAUUUGCCUUUAAUUAUCUAUACGAACAUUGCUGUACUCUUGAAUAUCAGCACCGGC